rnacentral:rRNA from 1 species
AUUGAACGCUGGCGGCAUGCCUUACACAUGCAAGUCGAACGGUAACAGGUCUUCGGAUGCUGACGAGUGGCGAACGGGUGAGUAAUACAUCGGAACGUGCCCGAUCGUGGGGGAUAACGGAGCGAAAGCUUUGCUAAUACCGCAUACGAUCUACGGAUGAAAGCAGGGGACCACAAGGCCUUGCGCGGACGGAGCGGCCGAUGGCAGAUUAGGUAGUUGGUGGGAUAAAAGCUUACCAAGCCGACGAUCUGUAGCUGGUCUGAGAGGACGACCAGCCACACUGGGACUGAGACACGGCCCAGACUCCUACGGGAGGCAGCAGUGGGGAAUUUUGGACAAUGGGCGAAAGCCUGAUCCAGCCAUGCCGCGUGCAGGAUGAAGGCCUUCGGGUUGUAAACUGCUUUUGUACGGAACGAAAAGACUCUUUCUAAUAAAGAGGGUCCAUGACGGUACCGUAAGAAUAAGCACCGGCUAACUACGUG